UAAAAAAAUAAAAUAAUUUGAUUCGACAAUACCAAAGCUAUUUCGUUAUAUUUCUAAUGGCGCCUUACAAUUGGCAAUGAAACUUUCCCUUUCCCAUUUUGUCUUCCUCUUCCGCAACUGCCACUUCAUCCCCUCUACUAACUUUUUAAUUUCACCUCUUCCCCUUUUUUAAACCCUAAAAUUCUUCUCAUUGAAUUCAUUGCAAUCGUAGAAUUCGCCGAUUUUACUUUCUUAUAUAGCUAGGUUUUUCAUUGUAUAAUAAUAAUUCUGACGAGUACAGGUUUAGUGUGUGUGAACGGGAAAAAAUGAGCUGGAGGAGAGUGGGGAAAUCUGGUCAGACACUAGCGGUGCACAUCUUGCUUUUGUGUUUCACCACUUUACUUGUUAUGAAGCUCGAUCAUUCCGUCGAUUUCUCCUGGUGGUUAGUUUUUUUUUUUUUUUGUUUGCUUUCAUAAUUUUUUAUUUAAUUUAUAAAUUCUGAAUAAAUGAUGCCAUCAGAGUAAUUGUUUGUUCAUGCCUGUAAUUAUAUGGAUGCUGAUACUGCU
rnacentral:lncRNA from 1 species